UAAAUACUACCUGAUGACCGAUAGUGAAGCAGUACCGUGAGGGAAAGGUGAAAAGAACCCCGGGAGGGGAGUGAAAUAGAACCUGAAACCGUGUGCCUACAACCGCUCAGAGCCCCUUAUGAGGGUGAUGAGGUGCUUUUUGUAGAACGAGCCAACGAGUUACGGUAUGUAGCAAGGUUAAGUACUUAAGGUACGGAGCCGAAGGGAAACCGAGUCUGAAUAGGGCGACUAGUUGCAUGCCGUAGACCCGAAACCGGGUGACCUAUCCAUGGCCAGGUUGAAGCGAGGGUAAAACCUCGUGGAGGACCGAACCACGUUGCUGUUGAAAAAGCAUGGGAUGAGCUGUGGAUAGCGGAGAAAUUCCAAUCGAACCCGGAGAUAGCUGGUUCUCUCCGAAAUAGCUUUAGGGCUAGCGUCGAGUAUGAGUAGUGGAGGUAGAGCACUGAAUGGGCUAGGGGGCAUAGCGCUUACCGAACCUUAUCAAACUCCGAAUGCCACAUACUUUGAGCUCGGCAGUCAGACUACGAAUGAUAAGAUCCGUGGUCAAAAGGGAAACAGCCCAGAUCGUCAGCUAAGGUCCCAAAGUGUAAGUUAAGUGGGAAAGGAUGUGAGAUUUCUAAGACAACUAGGAUGUUGGCUUAGAAGCAGCCAUUCAUUAAAAGAGUGCGUAAUAGCUCACUAGUCGAGAGAUCUUGCGCCGAAAAUGUAACGGGGCUAAACUUACCACCGAAGCUACGGGCUUGAACAUAGUUCAAGCGGUAGGAGAGCGUCGUAACCGGGCUGAAGUCGUACCGUAAGGAGCGGUGGACUGGUUACGAGUGAGAAUGUUGGCAUCAGUAGCGAGAUGUGGGUGAGAAUCCCACAGGCCGAAAACCUAAGGUUUCCUCAGGAAGGUUCGUCCGCUGAGGGUUAGUCGGGACCUAAGCCGAGGCCGAAAGGCGUAGGUGAUGGACAACUGGUUGAUAUUCCAGUACCACUACCAUCGUUAUUAUCGAUGGCGUGACGCAGGAGGAUAGUGUGUGCUAGCUAUUGGAUGCUAGUCUAAGCGUUUAGGCAGUGAGAGUAGGCAAAUCCGCUCUCAUAAUGCU
rnacentral:rRNA from 1 species